rnacentral:lncRNA from 1 species
GGGUAUUCAGCAAUUUACCCUUAUUUUUAAUUUGUUAUUCAAGUAUAUAACAAUUUCUUGACAAAAAAAAGGUAUACAACAAGUUCAAUAUCCUAUCCCUAUAAGGGGAACACGUCCGGAAGGAAGAACCUAAAUACAUUCGCAGUACAUUCUUUUAUGGGAGAUUCACUAUUAUACCCAAUAUAGGGGCCCAAAUUAUAAAAAUAUAAUAUAUGAAAUGGACUUUAGAAACACACCCAAAAAUCCAUUUACAACACAACAAAGAGGCUUUUAACUUCUUAUAAAUUACAAAAUUGCCAUAAAUUUCUUAAAACAAGCCCAACCCCAAAACCUCAUAAAAAACCCAAAAUACUCAAUAGGGUAUCAAAGUAAUUUAAUAAUAAAACUUAAAUUCAAUAGGGCCAGCUGUCAUUUUUUGAGUUUUUUUGGGUUUGUUUAUAGAAAUUCAAUAAUAUAGGGUUUAUUUGUAUUAUUAGUGCUAAAAAUGAGUAUAUGAUUAAAUAUCUCUUCUUGUAUCUCACUCUUCUCAACUCUACCAUAACGUGUAGGGUUCAAUGCUUUUGACCCUUAAGCCCGAUGCUUGCUAACUGGGAAGUGAGGGUGAAUCCAAUGUCCUUAUACAGGCUUACCAAAUUGACUCUGCUAGAUAUUGUAUGAGGAAGCUCAACUCCAUCAGAACUCAACGCUUUUUUGCAAACCGCGAUGCCAUCAGCGAUCUGUGCCACCGUAUACUUGACCAUAUCUUGGUCCUCCUUAACUCCCUCUAAUGUGCCUCGGAAAGCCGAUGCCACUGAUCCGUACGAUUGGGCACACUGUUGAAUAGCUUUGGUGCUGCUCUCAGUCAUGCGUAGAUAACUGUUAAACAACUCUUGGGUAUCUGUAGCAGUUUCUGCAGCUAUCUCAAGAACAUUUAUAGUAAAAUCUUUGUUGUUAGAUGCUGAUGAUUGAAUUCGAGCAUCUGACCCAAGAGUUUUUAUGCAUUCGGUGUAGUUUUGAUGGAAAGAGUCACUGGUUUGCUGGCAAACACUUCUAACUAAUGGAGACGCUCUUGCAUCUGCGGGCGCAGGAGAAGAAGAGAGAAAGAAGAGGAACAAAGCGAAGAACAAGACAUGAGAAAGUGGGGAGUCC